rnacentral:rRNA from 1 species
UACGUAGGGGGCAAGCGUUGUCCGGAAUCAUUGGGCGUAAAGAGCGUGUAGGCGGUCCGGUAAGUCGGCUGUGAAAGUCCAGGGCUCAACCCUGGAAAGCCGGUGGAUACUGUCGGGCUCGAGUCCGGAAGAGGCGAGUGGAAUUCCUGGUGUAGCGGUGGAAUGCGCAGAUAUCAGGAGGAACACCGAUAGCGAAGGCAGCUCGCUGGGACGGUACUGACGCUGAGGCGCGAAAGCGUGGGGAGCGAACAGG